AGUGAACGCUGGCGGUAGGCCUAACACAUGCAAGUCGAGCGGCAGCACAGUAAGAGCUUGCUCUUACGGGUGGCGAGUGGCGGACGGGUGAGGAAUACAUCGGAAUCUACUUUUUCGUGGGGGAUAACGUAGGGAAACUUACGCUAAUACCGCAUACGACCUACGGGUGAAAGCAGGGGAUCUUCGGACCUUGCGCGAUUGAAUGAGCCGAUGUCGGAUUAGCUAGUUGGCGGGGUAAAGGCCCACCAAGGCGACGAUCCGUAGCUGGUCUGAGAGGAUGAUCAGCCACACUGGAACUGAGACACGGUCCAGACUCCUACGGGAGGCAGCAGUGGGGAAUAUUGGACAAUGGGCGCAAGCCUGGUCCAGCCAUACCGCGUGGGUGAAGAAGGCCUUCGGGUUGUAAAGCCCUUUUGUUGGGAAAGAAAAGCAGCAGGUUAAUACCCCGCUGUUCUGACGGUACCCAAAGAAUAAGCACCGGCUAACUUCGUG
rnacentral:rRNA from 1 species